rnacentral:lncRNA from 1 species
AGUUUGUUAUCCAUUACAAUUGACUAAGGUCAAUUGGCUUUAUGGAAGCCUGUAAUCCCGUGUUAGUAACAUGAAUGACUCAGAUUCUGAAGGAAGAAAAAGAAUGACAAACUAUGUUCCAGGAGAAGUAGAAUUACUGCAUCACAGGGCACUUCAUUUUUAGAUUACGUAUCAUGGCGGCAGACCUUCAAUACCAAGGUGCAUCUUCUCCAGCAAGUUCUUCAGCAUCCUUUCCAGAAGCAUUCGGCAGCCGAGAAAGCAGGCUACACCUUACCUACUCCUUCCUGGGCUAAAGAUCUCAGACUUAGUUGCUUAUCUUAAUUUGGGGAAAAUAAAUUAAGGAGUUCUUCUAUCAUUAAGCACAACAUAAUAUAAUCUAUUUAAUAAAUUCUGAUCAUCCACAUUUUGAUGGCAAUCCCACAUUUGAAAAUAAUGAUUAUAUAUGCAAAUAUUUUUAGCCAGUUAAAUUGGAACUUAUUCUUUGAAACAUCAUGAUCAUUUUUGUUCUAAUCAGUAACUAUAAUGGAACAAUAAGGUGUUUUUGAUAAACCACAUGAGUUAUUUUCAUUGAUUAUCUUAUGACAGUUGUUAUCAAAAUGGAUUAUUACAUAUUUAUCUAGUAUUUGCUGUAAACUCAGCAGUUUGGAAUACAUCAGUAAGUAUUUAGUUUUAUUAUGCUACUAGAGUUUUUUUCCGUAUUAUAGAAUUUUCAAACAUUUACUAAGGUAGAUAAAAUUUUAAUAGUUUAAUGAACCUGGUUUACCAUUUAAUCAGCUUAUUAGUAAUCAAUACAUGGCCAAUUUCACUUCAUUUACACCUCCACACACUUCCCUCAUAUUCCUUGUUAUUGCCUUAAUUGAGAUAUAAUUUACAUGUCCUCAAUUAUGUUUUGGAAAAUGGAGACAUUGUUUCCUCUACAAAUAUUUCUGUAUGCCUCUCUAAAUAUUAAUGACUUAAAACACAAACAGACCCUGACACCAUAUGACCUUAGGACAAAUUAGCAAUAACUUCCUAAUGUAUAAAAUUAAAUAUCCAGUCAGUUUUCAAGGUUUCCCUAUUGUCUUGUAAAUUAUUAUCAUCUUCUUUAUUUUAUAGUUAUUUUAAUUGGGAUCCAAAUAAGGACUAUACAUUAAAAUUAGAUGAAAAUAUGUCUUGUUUCCUUUGAUAUCUUUGAGUAUAUCACCUACGUGUGUCACCUACAUCUUUUUUCACUUGCACUCUUUUGGUUUAUUUUGUUUUGAUUGAAGAAACCAGAUUAUUUAUCCUGUAGUAUUUUGACACUCUGCAUUUUUCGGAUUGCAUUUCGUGGUAUUUAUUAAACCUGUGAUAUAAUUUGAAUGUAUGCUCCAAAUCUCAUUGAUAUGGUUUGGCUCUAUGUCCCCACCCAAAUCUCAUCUUGAAUUUCGACCCCCAUGUGUGGAUGGAGGGACUUGGUGGGAGGUGAUUGGAUCAUGGGGGCCAUUCCCCCAUGCUGUUCUUGUGAUAGAGAGUUCUCAAAAGAUCUGGUUGUUUGAUAAGGGUCUGGCAUUUCCCCUUUGCUCUGUCUCUCCUCCUGCCAUGUAAGAUGUGCCUUGCUUCUCCUUCACCCUCUGUUAUGAUUCUAAGUUUCCUGAGGCCUCUCCAGCCAUGCAUAACUGUGAGUCAAUUAAACCUUCCUUUCUAAAUUACCUAGUCUCAGGUAGUUUCUUUACAGCAAUGUGAAAUUGGACUAACGUACUCAUGUUGAGAUGUAAUCCCCAAUGUUGGAGGUGGGGCCUGGUGGGAGGUGUUUGGGUCAUGGGGACAGAUUCAUCAUAACUUGAUGCUGUCCUCCUGAUAGACUGGGUUCUUAGGAGAUCUGUUGUUUGAAAGUGUGUGGCACCUCCCCUCACUUGCUCUCUUGCUCCCACCCUCUCCAUGUGAGAAGCCUGCUCCUGCUAUGCCUUCUGCCAUGUCUGGAAGCCUCCUGAGGCCUCCUCAAAAGCUGAGCAGAUGCCAGCACCACGUUCCCUGUAAAGCCUGCAGAACUCAGCCAAUUAAACCUCUUUUCUUUAUGAAUUACCCAGCCUCCCAUAUUUUUUUAUAGGAACAGAAAAACAGCCUAGCACAACACGUUUCUCUGCCCCCUGUAUUUCUGUAACUAUAGAGCUUCAGUCAGUUUCAGAAAGGAUUUAUUUGGCAAAAAUACUUGAAAUACAGAGCAAACAUCUGCCUUGGUGAAUUGCCACUAUUUCUUCUGUAACUACAUUUAUGUUCUAUUUGAAUUUCACUGUUAUCACUUUUUUUUCUGUUGCAGUUUUAGCCCUGUUGAUUAAUUUCCACUUUUGAUUAUUCCUUUUUGUAAAAUGUCACGUGGGCUUCUCGCUGGGAGACAAGGAGGCAAGACAAUAACAUGCUUUGCUCUCUGUAUGAACUCAGUAACAAAUAUGCAGUGAUUGGCAACAACAUACUUUGAAAGAAGUGAUGGGUCACUGAUCAUGAUUCAUCUGUUAUUUAGGCUGUGAUUUGUGGACUGAAGAACUAACAAGAAGUUUAUACUUUAUAUAAUUACAGGUAAAAUACCAUGAUAACUGAAAUUAGAACCAUGUUGGGGAACUCGUGUCAUUUAAUUCAAUCAUGCUUAUUGGAACUAGGUAGAGGGGCGAUGGCCUGUACCUCUUACCUUCCUGAUGUUUUCUUUUUUAUCUGCAAUAAACAUUUACAUCAUUCCUUGUAUAGACUGUGAAAUUGUCUAUCAAUUCUAGACAUGUAGUCUAGAAUCACUUUUUAUACUACAUUUUAUAAUUGAGCAUCACUGGUAUAUAGUAUAUAGGACAGUUUUUGGUUUCUAUAAUUAAAGGUUGACUUUAUUAAAGUAUUAAGUAGAUACACCAUCUGAGAAUUUAAAAGUCUGUCUUUUUCAUUCAAAUAGUUGUUCAUCCUAUUUUUUUUGUUGUUAUAUGUAUUGGCUAGAGACUUCAGGAUAAUGUCGAAUAAUAUUAAUGAUAAUAUUGACUUUAAUGGUGUAUUAGUCAUGUCUCUUAUUUUCUGAAUUCGAUGCUUUGACAUCCAGGGCUUUGUUGUCCAUGGAGGGACUGCCCCUCUCAGGAUAAGCUAAUUCCUGGACGUAAGCAACUUGCCUGCAUGUAUGUCUUCAUAUAUAAACCAACCAAUCCAGAGCUCAUACCCCGUUCUUUAUCCUUUCUUUAUCACCCUCUAUUCUUCUUUAUCUAUCUUUAUCCUUCUUUAUCACUCUCAUGUCCCAGGCCACUAUCCGCCUGCCCUAAUUGCCUCAGGGCCAGGUAGCAGACAACUAGGGACAGCCUCUCCUCCCCAAGAUACCACGAAAUUAUUCAAACUAGCCAAUCCUAAGACUGGUUGCCCUGCCUUGCUUGUUCCUUCCUGUGGAAAGUACAGUAAAGAGUCUUGCUCGUGCUUUCCCCCGUCCCCUCUACCUCCUGACUGACCUUGAUGUUUCCCUGUUUUGCCUCUUGUGGUGUGAGGUGCCUACAGCUCCUAGGGAACCCUGAGUAGCAAAAUAAAGUACUUCCCUCAUGACACUCAUUUCUGUGUUCAUGUGUCUUAUCAUACUGAUUAAAACAAAUCCUGGGUACCAUAAAAAUAAAUGACAUUUCUAUUCAUGCUUUGUUAUUAAAUAUGCCUUUUGCUGUAGGUUUCUAAUAACUUUUAUCAAUAUAGAAACAUCUUCCUCAAUUGCUAGUUUCUUAUGAAGUUUUAAAUUUUUUUUAACAAGGAGUGGUGUUGAAUUUUAUCAAGAGCCUUUUUGAUGUUUAUUGAAAUAGUUGUUUUUUCUCCUAUGAAUUUUUCUAAUAGAAACUAUACUGAUUGAACAAUAGGUUAAAAUUAAAGUUUCAUCAGACUCUCAAGAUAUAAUAGCUGUGAAAGUCUAAAUCACCAUAUGUAGGUUUUCAUAGCAAAUAUCUGAGAACCUGCUCCACAAGUAUUAAUUCUCCUCACCUGCUUUAACAAUAUGAAAGGAUGUGGAGUGGAGAACACUGCAGGGAGCUGUUGCCUUGCACUUUCCCCUACCUUACCUUUGAUAGUCUUAUGUAUGGGGAGGAAAAUAAUGCACAUCCUUAACCCUGGGUCUAGAGGAGGACUCUUCAGGAGGCCACCAGGAUAACUGACCAAAAAACUCCUGGAACUAAUAAGCAGUUAUAGCAAGGAUGCCGUAUACAGGAUUAGUAUAGAAAAAUCCAUUGCAGUUGCUCUCCUGCACACAAACAGUGAGCAAUUGGAAUUUGAAAUUAAAAACACAAUGCCAUUUAUGUAAACAUUCCCACCACCAGUGAAAUAAUUAGGUAUAAAUCUAACAAAAUAUAUAAAAGAUCUAUGAGGAAAACUACAAAAUUUUGAUUAAAGAAAUCAAAGAAGGACUAAAUAAAUAGAGAGAUAUUCCAUGUCCAUGGAUAGGGAGGCCUAGCAUUAACAAAAUGUCAGUUCUUCCCAACUUUCUCUCUAGAUUCAAUGCAAUCCCCAUCAAAAUCCCAGAAAUAUAUCACUUGGAUAUUGACAAAUUGAUUCCAAAGUUUCUAUGGAGAGGCUAAAACAAAAACAAAAACCAAAAAAAAACAAAAACAAAAACAAAAAAAACAAGAACAGAUAACGCAGUAUUAGAAAAGAAGAAAAUCAGGGGGGUAACACUACCCAAUUUCAAGAUUUGCAAGAAAGCUACAGCAAUGAAGACAGUGUGGUAGUGGCAAAAGAAUAGAUGAAUAGACCAAUGGAACAGAAUAGAAAAUCCCAAAAUAGACCUAUACAAAUAUUUGACAAAGGGGCAAAGGCAAUACAAUGAGGAAAAGAUAGUCUUUUCAACAAAUGGCACUGGAACAACUUAAUAUCCAUAAGCAAAAUCAAAAAUCUAGACACAGAUCUUACAUCUUCCCCCAAAUUUAGCUGAAAAUGGAUCAUAGACCUAAAUGUAACACACAAAAUUAUAAAAUUUCUAGAAUAUAGGAGAAAAGCUAGAUAACCUUG